UAAAAAAAAAAAAAAAAAAAAAAAAAGCAUAUCUAGGCCAAGGCUCCUUCACUUUUUUUGAAUAACACCUAGAACUUCUCUUGCUCUUGAGGUAUUAGAGUUUCCAAGUCUGUGGAUGGAGUCUGUGUCUCAGUCACAGCUGUUGCAUGUGGACAGGGAAGGUGCAGUCUGUGCCCUGUUCUUUUUCUGUAGGCCUGGGGCAUCCCCAAUGCUGCUACUGAUGCUUGAAUUUGUAGCUCCAGGCACACAUAGUGCACUUCAGAUGAGGUUCUGAGAAUGUGGAAAGCUGUGCUCUUAGGCAGUAUUUCUUCCCUGUGAGUGUUGAGCUCUUAGCAUAUCUCAGGCUGUGGUUGUAGUAUGGAUGUGCACAGCUGUUUGAUCUCAUAUCCUUACAUUCACCUGUUGAUAUUGUACUCCCAGUGUUUUUAUGCUUUCAUGUAGCUUCCUCCACAACCUGCAUCACAUACUCAGUUCCCAGCUCCCCUUCCUGUCUGGGGAAGCGGAGGCAAAAAGGAAAGGCUGUGGGACUGUCUUGCCUCCAUUCAUGCACCCUUACAGAAUCCUGGAGCCUCAUUCUCAUCAAUUCCCUUGUCCUGUUUUUCCUUUGAGAAAACAAACUUGUCCACUUGCUCACCCCAGUCUUUACGGCAGAAAUUCUACCCAGCCCCAUGUCAGGGUGGAACUGCAAUGGAUGGUCCCUUACACUGGAAACAACAAAUCAAGGUGAUUUUCAAGACAUGUUUUGACUGUAAUCAAGUGUUCUAAACUGUUACUUUGUGAAUUUGGCUUUCUUGCAUUGUGGGUUAAUGAAUAAUCCACUGUGUAUGUUUAUCUUGCAGCAUUAUGUAUUUGAUUAUUGGUUGUAGUGCAAGGAAACUUAUUUUUACAGUAGUUGAUAGUGAUAUAUAUUUAAAUAUAUAUAAAAUUGCAGCUGAGAUCUGGAAGCAGAGUGUUGUACUGAGAGCUAAAUUAGACAGCUGAGCUAUUGGACAACUUCUUGUUGCCAAAUGGUGGAGAUCCUGCCCCUUUCACCAAUCCUUUUGCCUUUGCAUAGAUGCACCUUCAGGCAUACGCCAGUUCUCACGCUUGUGGGCUCCCUCACUUGGUUAGACCUUCUAACCCUGCAGCUUAUGGAGAACAGUUCUGGUUGGGUUAAUGCUGGUUUUAUGUAAUUUUGCACUUAAAGUGAUUGUGCAAGUGCUGGAACACGUGAGCUGCAGGCACUGCACAGUGUCUGCUUGCAGUGGAUCAUCUGUGUUUGUUGCCCUUCUGUUACAAACUCUUGCGCCAAGAGACCUCCCGUAUAAGUUUGGAUUAUCACCAGCAAAAUUGAUGAGUCAAGACUGCAACAGCUCAUAUCCUUUGUGGCUCACCAAAAAGCCCUCUCACACCAAAACACUCCAACUGCAUGACACUGGGUUCCAUUCCAGUUUUCCCAUCUAAUUGUUUGACAUCUUACCAACAAUAGUCUGGAAAAAAAAAAAACAAAAAAAACCUGAGAAACCAAUCUUAUGAGUAUUGCUUCCUGUUUUCUGAAUGCUGAACAACAGUUUGUGUAAUGAUGAUGAACUGUUAAAUAUAAUUAAGUCUUAUUCCCUAUAGUCCUUGUAAUAAAAAUCGUAAACAAUAUUUUGCAAAUAAAGCUGCAGGCCCACAGGCUGUCACUUCCAGAUGGCAUGAAUUAGCAGAGGAAGAUUUGUUGUGCUUCCUUUCCCCAGCAAUCCACCCCUCCCCUGGUUUGGGAUGUGCUAGCCCUGGCCAGGGAUGACUCAGCUGCUGGUUAAUCACCUGCUGAAGUGCUAAAAGUGAUAGAUUGGCUCUGCUUCCUCAAGCAAUGGUGAGCUGUCAAGGCUGACCAGCAAGAAAAUGUUCUGCAGCUAGGAGAAUUCCCCUGCCAUCCUAGUUAGAGUCAUUGCAAUUAAGGCUUGCUGCUUUCAUCUGCACAGAUUUUGCUGUGACUUCAACCAUCUAUUUUGAGAUCCUGUUUAAUAAAUGGUUCCUUGUGUGCAGGUUGCCCAUACAGGGGACUUCUCACCGGUGUGUCUAGAGGAAUACUGGUCAGGGAUGUUUCAUUGUUUUCCAGUUGAUAACUUGGAAAGUAAUAGAAUAUUUCCAACCAGAGAGACCAUCUCCCAAAAGAGGUCACGUUUAGAAGAGUGUUCUGUAAUCUUGAAGUUUCAAAUGGCUGCUUGCCAGAUUGCUGAUGGUAGAGAGAAGAGAAAAAAAAACUACAAGCCAUAUAGAAAACUUCACCAACCUCUGCCCCCGCAUAGGGACUGCACAUGUCCAAUCAGCUGUCAGGAAAAAAGCAUGAAGAACCUAUUGCCAUGGUGUAACAAGUCUUAGUGUCCUUUGUAAACAAACAGACUUUGUGAGAGAUACAAACCAACCCCAGUUUACCACAGUAAGUUGUAACUAAUGCAGUCCAAGUGCCUUUUAGACUCUUCCUUUCCGUGUUGAUACCUUCUUCUUACCUGAAGAAAAAAUGUAAGCCUGCUCUCAGCAGCAGUAACAGCAGCUGCCCUGCUGACAAGCAAGCAAACACUGAGAAGAGAACAUCUCCGAGUCAUUGUUGAGAACUUUGACAACAUACAGUAUGUUUCCUUCUCCACCUGCUAUGGUGCAUAUCUGUACUGCUUAGCCCAGCCAGCGAUGGUUCCCUCAGUACCUGAAGAAAAUAUCAUCACGGUUACCCUCAGCAGAUCGCUGUCAAGAGGACAGAAUCUACUACAUGCGGAGGGAAGAGCUAAGCUUUAUCUACGUUUGCAAAUACUUUUUGCUAGAUGUUGUUUACUUUGGUCUCUGUUGUAUAGUUUAGUAUAUUCUGGGGGACUGGCUCCAUCCUCAAGAGAAGCCCAUUUUCAGCUCUCCUCCUUCCCACAUGGAUAGCAGCAGUAUCUCAGCCUCUCUUCACCCUUACCCAAGAGAUUUUCAUUGUUGGGGUCAUCUGAGACAAAAUCCUCCAGCAAGCCCCUGGCUGCACUUUGCUGGCUAAACUCUCAGUCCUGGAGGGCAGAGAAAAGCAGUGCCAAAAAGGAUUAUUUAAAGUUAUGGAUCUGUGUAACUUCUCACUGUAGCAAUGCUAUUGCAGCAAAGGUUCAUCAUCUGGCAGGAUCAAUACAAAUGAACAAGUGCACAAUUCUCUCUGUUCUUGUUUUUAGAACAAGUGUGAUUGUUAUUAACAUUUUUGUGUAGGAAGGUCCAAGGGCAUGGCACAAUUCCAAGCCAGGUUUGCUCAUCUAACCAUGCUUGCUGUCUCUCGUAAGCCUUCAGAGUCAUCUUUUGAUAAGCACGUUGUUUGCAGAACAGAUCUGAGAUUUAUUCAGAGACAUUCUUUCACAUAUUUUUCCACGAACAUCCCACAUCUUCAACAUUAAACUGUAUUUACCUGCUUUAGUAGAUGUUGGACUUGAUGAUUCUUGGAAUUGUUAGCUGCAGAGGUAAUAUUCAGAAUGUCACCACAUGCGAAAUGCAGAUACUUGCAGAAAAAAGCAAGGGCAGAGUGUCUCUAAGUGCUACAUAAUCUUGUAUAGUUUAAGUCCCUCAGUGGGAAGCCACUGCUAAGUUGUGAUCUUUAUUGGAUCACAGCAGAUACAAAUCGUAAGAGCCAAACAAGUAUUAUCGACACUGCACUGACUGUGAUUUGCCUUUUUUAUUAUUAUUUCUAUCUCAAAUUUUUUUUCAAACCAUCAGUCACGAGUGCCAGAAGUCUCCAGACUGAUGAAGUUAACCAUUUAGCAUUUUAUUAACUUCAUCUUAAAAUUAGGCACAAUGUACGUGAACAUAGACUUACAAGUUCUUGUUUCCUUUAAGAAAAUUUAUCUUGUGGAACGGUCUUAUUCUUUAUGGGAAUUUAAAAAUCAAUUCAUUCUGCUAAUCUUUAAAAUAUCUAAGCUAGCAGCAGUCGAUUUAUAGCAAUUCUUUUCUCUAUGCAGACAAAACACAAAGGUUGUUAAUAUUUUCCAGCCAAGUUUCCUUGUAUUCCAACUUGGGAGUGGUAACAGGAGGAGAGCCAAGGAAUUUCCAGAAAUCUUGAAGUGCGAGGAGUUGUAACACAGAAGAUUUCUACUCGGUGCCUUACUCUCAUCCUGUUACAGGCUGACUCAAUGCCAGAGCAGAGAAAUCAUGUUAUAUCCUGAAGGAAAUAAUUCAAGCACCUCACCUGGCAAUUCUGCUGAGAUUUGUUCCUUCUGGAUACGCAGCCUUUACUUGGAACUGUCGGCUCUCACCCAAAUUGUUAGUUAGGAGCUUCCCAAAACACAGCAGGACAAUAGACAUGGCUGUCUUCCAAAGAUCAACUGCCAGAAGCUACCAGAAAAAAAGAUACCUGCUCGGUUCCUUCCUAAAAUGAGAACAGACUGUGAAGACCAGCUUCCAAACAGCUGUGUAUUGCUCUUGGAAAUGAUUACCAAAUUCACAAAAUAAGUAAUAACACAGCCUAUAUCUCAGCUGUUAGCUUUUUGUUUUAUUUUCUCCUCAGUCUCAUUCACAGGCAGCACCAAGGAAAAUGGUGUUUUCCAUGCUUUGAAGCAUUAGUGAAUAGUAGGAUCUUUGCUACCACAAGAAUAUGAACUUGCACAUGGGAAAGUAACAGCAGGCAACAACAACACCACAUCCUGAACUGUCUUUGAGUCACUGUAUCAAUGACUGUCACGCCAACUAUGCCAUCCCAGUCAACUUUGUUCUAAUGCAAUGGCUGAGUCCCAGCAUUAAGAGUUUCAAACAGUGGUCAUAGAAACAGUAAACUCUUUGUGGGAGUUGCCUGAUGUGUUUCAAAAGGCAGCUCUAUGCUGUUGUCAGCUAUGACACUGGCACAACUAAGAUGCAUUUCCAUUUUGUGUUCUACCUUCUUGCUUGGGUCUCACAGAGAUCUUUCUGUGAGGACUUUCCUUGCUGGGUGCAGGAGGAAAGAGCACUUCUUGGCAUCAGGAACUUGCUGGUAGAGAACCAUCUGUGAUCUUAAGUUCAUAUGGUAGCUGAAGACCUAAGCACAUACCUCAUACUUUCUCCUGAACAUGGAAAAAGUCUCUCACCAAGACACAUCUUUACAUACCUGUCAUGCUAUUUCAUUAGAUGUGCUUGGUAUUUACGGAGGUGAAAUCACCAACAGGACAGGAUGUUAUCUUCCAGUCACACAAAGCAACCAUCACACUUGUGCUAGUACUCUAAACACUUGAGCAAUAAAGAUCCUGUGUUGUUUUGCAAUAAAGCUUGUUUACUUCUUGCUACUGUU